rnacentral:rRNA from 1 species
UUCCUACGGGAGGCAGUAGUGGGGAAUAUUGCACAAUGGGCGCAAGCCUGAUGCAGCGACGCCGCGUGAGGGAUGACGGCCUUCGGGUUGUAAACCUCUUUCAGUAGGGAAGAAGCGAAAGUGACGGUACCUGCAGAAGAAGCGCCGGCUAACUACGUGCCAGCAGCCGCGGUAAUACGUAGGGCGCAAGCGUUAUCCGGAAUUAUUGGGCGUAAAGAGCUCGUAGGCGGUUUGUCGCGUCUGCCGUGAAAGUCCGGGGCUCAACUCCGGAUCUGCGGUGGGUACGGGCAGACUAGAGUGAUGUAGGGGAGACUGGAAUUCCUGGUGUAGCGGUGAAAUGCGCAGAUAUCAGGAGGAAC